rnacentral:rRNA from 1 species
GUCCACGCCCUAAACGAUGUCGACUAGGUGUUGGGGAAGGAGACUUCCUUAGUACCGCAGCUAACGCGUGAAGUCGACCGCCUGGGGAGUACGGUCGCAAUAUUAAAACUCAAAGGAAUUGACGGGGACCCGCACAAGCGGUGGAUGAUGUGUAUUAAUUCGAUGCAACGCGAAAACCUUACCUACCCUUGACAUGUCAGGAAGUCCGCCGAGAGGUGGAUGUGCCCGAAAGGGAACCUGAACACAGGUGCUGCAUGGCUGUCGU